CUCCAGCCGGCGCCGCAGUGUCGGUGGCACAUGAUGGCGGAGGAGAGCGGCGUUUGCAGCUUUGUGUUCAAGAAGCGGGUCCGAGCCGCGGGCAGCGGCCGGCGAAAACGGCCCGGCAGCGACCAGGAGCGGGAGAGCAGUGGGGAGGAGGGCAGCAGCGUGGUGCGGAAGGAGCGACGGCGGGACACCCCCAACCCCAUGAUCCAGAAGACCAGGCGCUGCGCGAGGGAGAGGCCGGACUACGCACUGAGCAGCAGUGAGGAUGAGGAUCCUGCCAAGGACAUCGGUGUCACCUACAAAUCCACCAGGUCGGCGAAACCUGUUGGCCCAGAAGACAUGGGAGCCACAGCAGUGUAUGAACUGGACACGGAGAAGGAGAAGGAUGCCCAGGCCAUCUUUGAGCGCAGCCAGAAAAUCCAGGAGGAGCUGAGAGGAAAGGAAGAUGAUAAAAUUUACCGUGGCAUUAACAACUACCAGAAGUAUGUGAAGCCCAAAGACACAUCGAUGGGAAAUGCCUCUUCAGGAAUGGUCAGGAAAGGCCCCAUCCGUGCUCCAGAGCACCUGCGGGCCACCGUGCGCUGGGACUACCAGCCCGACAUCUGCAAGGACUACAAAGAGACCGGCUUCUGCGGCUUCGGGGACAGCUGCAAAUUCCUGCACGACCGCUCGGACUACAAGCACGGUUGGCAGAUCGAACGGGAGCUGGACGAAGGCCGCUACGGCGUCAAUGACGAUGAAAACUACGAGGUGAGCAGUGAUGAGGAGGACAUGCCUUUCAAAUGUUUCAUCUGCAGAGGUUCCUUCAAAAACCCCGUGGUCACCAAAUUUUGUUUUCAUGCCAUCAUUCCUCCUGGACACUUAAUGCCAUCAUUCCUCCUGGACACUUAAUGCCAGCUGCACUGCCUGAGUACAGAAAUGUGAGCAUGGGGAAGCCAGGAGCUUGGCAGGGAUGAGGAGGCUGAGGAGAGCACUUUCUCCCUCUGAACGCUGUCCUGCUGGUACUUGGGUCUGGAAGAGCACGCUGGUGGCUCUGUGCUGUCACUGCACAUCAGUGAAGCAAUGCUGAAACACCUUCCAUGGGGACAGCGAUGCAGAGGAAGCUGUGUCUGCAGCUCACUUUUGUCUCCCUAUGGAGAGAAUUGUCAUGCAGUGGAAGAGGCUUCCCAGGGAGCUGGUGGAGUCCCCAUCCCUGGAGGUGUCCAAGGAACAACUGGACAUGGCACUCGGUGCUCUGGGUGACAAGGUGGGGGUCGGGCAGAGGUUGGACUCAAUCGUGGAGGUAAUUUCCAGCCUUGCUGUUCCUGUGAGCAGCAGUCAGUAGUUUCUAACUCUAGGACACAGUCAUUGUGCCUGGUGCCUUGCAGUGACCUCUGUGUCUCCAUACAGGUGUCGGCACUACUUCUGUGAGGGCUGUGCCCUCCAGCACUAUCGCAAAUCCCAGCGCUGCUACGUCUGCGACAAACAAACCAACGGGGUCUUCAACCCUGCAAAAGAGCUGAUGGCAAAACUGG